rnacentral:tRNA from 1 species
GGUCCCAUCGUCUAACGGUCAGGACAUCAGAUUCUCAUUCUGGUAACAUGGGUUCGAUUCCCAUUGGGACUGCCA